rnacentral:rRNA from 1 species
UACGAGGGGGGCGAGCGUUGUUCGGAAUUAUUGGGCGUAAAGGGCGCGUAGGCGGUCGGAUAAGUCUUGUGUGAAAUCUUCGGGCUCAACUCGAAGUCUGCACAGGAAACUAUCUGGCUUGAGUGUGGGAGAGGUGAGUGGAAUUCCUGGUGUAGCGGUGAAAUGCGUAGAUAUCGGGAGGAACACCAGUGGCGAAGGCGAUCAUCUGGGGUUGUUCUGACACUGAGGAGCGAAAGCUAGGGGAGCAAACGGG